UCUGAGACUACCUUAUUGCAACCAGGUGGUGAUGUCUGAGAGGAACUUAGGAUUUAUUACAAGCCAUGGUUUAAAGGAAUUUAUUGAAGACCAACACCUGUGUGGGAAUGAAAUAAACAGGAUUGGACAGAGGAAGAAGCUGAAUUGCGAUGAAGUCACAACGAACGCUGUACCCGAUGGUAUCUCCUACAGCUUGCUCUGAAACUGGAGAAACCUUCAGAUGGAGGCAAGGGAACUGGGCCUUUUGUACUCUCCCCCCAGCCCAUCCUCUCUAAUUGACCAGUUAUUGGAUACAGGCUCUCUUCGGUGAGAGAAUUUACAAAAAAGCAACCCAUUUGCAUGGCGUUGACUAUUUCUAAGUGAUACAAUACAUCAUCAGCUAAAAAGCCUAUUAUGUGUCUGUUCCAUGAACCCUCUGGUAUUAACUAAGAAUAAAGAAUGCAGAAUUCAAACUUAACAAACUCCUAUUUAUUUUUCAUGUCCCAGCCCAAAUAAUUGUGAGGUCUCUGGAGAUUUUCCAGAGUAAAAUUAGUUGCUCCUACCUCUUUGUUCCCUCAUCACUACACUCAUAGAUUUGUAGUAAUACUUGUCAAAUUGAAUUAUAUAUUAUUGCUUUCUGGUCUAC
rnacentral:lncRNA from 1 species